UUAACACAUGCAAGUCGAACGGAUCAGAGGGGCUUGCUUCUCUGGUUAGUGGCGAACGGGUGAGUAACACGUGAGUAACCUGCCCUUCACUCUGGGAUAACGUCGGGAAACCGGUGCUAAUACUGGAUAUGACCUACUCGGGCAUCCGAUGUGGGUGGAAAGAUUUAUUGGUGGGGGAUGGACUCGCGGCCUAUCAGCUUGUUGGUGAGGUAAUGGCUUACCAAGGCGACGACGGGUAGCCGGCCUGAGAGGGCGAUCGGCCACACUGGGACUGAGACACGGCCCAGACUCCUACGGGAGGCAGCAGUGGGGAAUAUUGCACAAUGGGCGAAAGCCUGAUGCAGCGACGCCGCGUGAGGGAUGAAGGCCCUCUGGGUUGUAAACUUCUGUAGAGGGGGAAAAAUGUCCCAUACGUUGGGAUUGAUGGUACCCUUAAAGUAAGCUUCGGCUAACUACGUGCCAGCAGCCGCGGUAAUACGUAGGAAGCAAGCGUUGUCCGGAUUUAUUGGGUGUAAAGGGUGCGCAGGCGGGAUGGCAAGUCAGUGGUGAAAUCCUCAUGCUUAACAUGAGGGCUGCCAAUGAUACUGCUGUUCUUGAGUGCGGGAGAGAGUGAUGGAAUUCCAGGUGUAGCAGUGAAAUGUGUAGAUAUCUGGAAGAACACCAGUGGCGAAGGCAGUCACUUGGCCCGUAACUGACGCUCAUGCACGAAAGCGUGGGGAGCAAACAG
rnacentral:rRNA from 1 species